CACAUAUCAGGACAUCCCCUACACACUCCACCCCCUGUGAACAAACUCAUUGGUGGAACAUGAAGGUGGACCCUGGGACCCAGACCUUGAGCUGUGUAAAGGACCCCCAAAAAUGGAGCUGCUUCCCGUUCUCCCAGAACAUUGAUUUUUGUGACCACAGUUACAAACCGCCUCCAGAGAGCCUGUUCUGCACCAGACCAGUGGAGCCAGACUGCAGCUAGAGCCCAUCAUCAUCCUCAUCUGGUUGAAA
rnacentral:lncRNA from 1 species